rnacentral:lncRNA from 1 species
AUGAAACAUGCUUAGCAAGAAACACGAACAGAGUUCACUAAAAACAAAAAUCAAAGACCUCAAUGGUAAACACAUAUAGUAAAACAGUAAAGGGGAACAUAACACAAAUUAACAUAUGAGCACAUGUAUAAUGAAAAUUGAAAGUAGAGGAAUAGUACAUGCGUAGUAAAAGAAGUACACAAGCACACAUAAAGAAAAGAAGAAGGAGAAUCAGAAGGAUAUUUUGAAAAACUUUCCAGAAACCCUAAAUUGAAGGCAAAUGAUUUUAAAAGGAAAAUUUAGGGAAAAUACUUUAAAAGCACAGCAGAACACAAACUUACCAUUGAUCUAAGAAAAUAAAUAGAGAAGAACCUCGAACAACUUAGGGGUUCAGAGAAACCCUAGAAAUGAGAAAGUCUUAGAGGAAAAUCAGAUCUGGAGUUAGCUGAGUUAGAAAGUGGCUUCUAACGACUUAGAUACGCCGGAGCAUGGCCGGAGAGGCCCUAGAACUGUAGAUCUGAGACGAUCUUGGAGCGGACCUUUGAGGUCUGACCCCAAAACUUUAAGCACCCAUGGUUUAAUGGUGGAUAGGGGUGAGUACAGAUCGUUCGUGGCCUGAGAAGCCAUGGAUUCCCGUGAAAGUACGAUAAAAGAAGGUAAGAAGAGGCUAAGGUUUCGAGGGGCUUUGAGAGAGUUUUGGGAGACAAAAG